rnacentral:lncRNA from 1 species
AUCAGUUCAUAUAAUCAGUUUAUGCAGUCAGUUCAUCAGUUUAUAAAUAAGUUUUUUUUUUCCCUUGCUUUUUUCUAUAGUCUUUGUAAUCCCCUGCAAUAAAAAAAAUGACCACAUGGUGCGUUGUUCAGUUCAGAAGUGGGGCAACUGAAAUUGUGCCAAACUCAUGGGUUGAAGGAGAUAAAGUCUUCUGGCCCCCAUACCCUCCUAAGGACUCUAUUAGGCUGAAUGCAGCCAUCCUGAAUAGAGAGCAGCCUGGUCAGGGAUGGCACACAUACCAGCCUAUCCGUCUCCUCAUAACUCGUGAUAGUCAUGAUGAGGCAGCGAGGAGCCUGGACAGAUAUCUCAAUAAAGAUUGUGACACCACUGACAUCCAGUCUGAGGAGGAGAGCCACCAUGCCCUGAAAAGAAAAAGAAGCGACCCAACUAGCCAGUCAGAACAGCCAACCAUCACCACCUCCACGAAUCUAUCAGACCCUCCAACGCCCCAAUUCCCCCAUGUUGUCUUACCCCAAUGUCCCAGCAUCGUUCCCUGGAGAUGA